rnacentral:piRNA from 1 species
UGUCUUUCCAAUCAAAUAAAGGGCGUGACC